rnacentral:rRNA from 1 species
CAGUAGCCGCGGUAAUACGUAGGGUGCAAGCGUUAAUCGGAAUUACUGGGCGUAAAGCGUGCGCAGGCGGUUCGUUAAGACAGAUGUGAAAUCCCCGGGCUUAACCUGGGAACUGCAUUUGUGACUGGCGGGCUAGAGUAUGGCAGAGGGGGUAGAAUUCCACGUGUAGCAGUGAAAUGCGUAGAGAUGUGGAGGAAUACCGAUGGCGAAGGCAGCCCCCUGGGCCAAUACUGACGCUCAUGCACGAAAGCGUGGGGAGCAAACAGGAUUAGAUACCCGCGUAGUCCCUGUCUCUUAUACA